rnacentral:rRNA from 1 species
AGUGAACGCUGGCGGCGUGCUUAACACAUGCAAGUCGAACGGAUGAAAUAAGCUUGCUUAUUUCGUUAGUGGCGCACGGGUGAGUAAUGUAUAGCUAACCUGCCCUCUAGUGGGGGACAACAGUUGGAAACGACUGCUAAUACCCCAUACUCCUUCUUAUCUUAAGAUAAGUUGGGAAAGAUUUAUUGCUAAAGGAUGGGGCUUUAUGGUAUCAGCUAGUUGGUGGGGUAACGGCCUACCAAGGCGAUGACGCCUACCUGGUCUGAGAGGAUGAUCAGGCACACUGGAACUGAGACACGGUCCAGACUCCUACGGGAGGCAGCAGUGGGGAAUAUUGCACAAUGGAGGAAACUCUGAUGCAGCAACGCCGCGUGGAGGAUGACGCAUUUCGGUGUGUAAACUCCUUUUAUAAGGGAAGAUAAUGACGGUACCUUAUGAAUAAGCACCGGCUAACUCCGUGCCAGCAGCCGCCGUAA